rnacentral:misc_RNA from 1 species
GAUGAAGAACGUAGCGAAAUGCGAUAAGUAGUGUGAAUUGCAGAAUUCAGUGAAUCAUCGAAUCUUUGAACGCACAUUGCGCCCCUUGGUAUCCCGAGGUGCAUGCCUGUUCGAGCGUCAUUUCACCACUCAAGCCUGGCUUGGUGUUGGGCGACGUCCUCUUUGGGGACGCGCCUCGAAACGCUCGGCGGCGUGGCACCGGCUUUAAGCGUAGCAGAAUCUUUCGCUUUGGAAGUCGGGGCCCCGUCUGCCGGAAGACCUGCUCGCAAGGUUGACCUCGGAUCAGGCAGGGAUACCCGCUGAACUUAAGCAUAUCAAUAAGCGGAGGA